UUUUUUUUAGGGCCACCCCUGUGGCAUAUGACAUUCCCAGGCAAGGGGUUGAAUCAGAGCUACAGCUGAUGGUCCACACCACAACCACAGCUACGCAGGAUCCAAGCCGAGUCUGCGACCUACACCACAGCUCACGGCAACGCCGGAUCCUUAACCCACUGAGCGAGGCCAGGGAUAAAACCCACCACGUCCUCGUGGAUGCUGGUUGGGUUUGUUACUGCUGAGCCAUGACGGGAACUUGGGAAGUGUGAGGCAUCUCAAAACUUUAGGUAGGUAGCAGCAAGGCAAUCAGUGAUUUACAUUCAGUGGUUCUGGAGCCAGACUUCUUGGGACAAAUAAUGCCUUUAGCAUAGUAACUAUGGACCCUUAGAUCUCAAUAUCCUGAUCCUUAAAAUGGGGGUAUGAUUGGCACCUGCCUCUUUGGACUGCUGAGUGUUGAAAAAGGUAAUUAUUUAAAGAUCUCAGCCCAGAGUCUACUGCUUAGCUCGGUAGGCACUUCAUCAACAGUAGGUAAUUCUACUAUAGUGUGAGGCAGAGAGAACCUUUCAGAACAAGAACAAACUAACUCUAGUUCUGUCCCUACUUUGCUGGAAUCCAGGUUUUAGAGACCAACUCAUCCUAAAUCCUGCUUUUCUCUUUGUAGUGUGUGAACUGGUCCAGCUUUUCCUGGAAACCUCCAUCUAGUCACUUUUCUCAGCAAUCUGAGCUCUAUGAGCAAGGCUCAUGACUGCUCCCUGCUCGGGGAGCAAGUCAGUUUUUACUUUGGCCUUUCCAAGGGAGCUGAAGAUAUCAACCUAAUUCUGUCCACCUGAGGACAGCAGACAUUAUCCCUCUUCUGUGCCCUUGAGGACGUCUUGCUGGUUGCUAGGUUACAGGAUGAACAUCAGAGAGACAGAGAGUUGUUUGCUUCCAAAUCUCUAGGUACUUCACAGGCCUGGGAAUGUCUCAAAAUUAACAUCCUCCCAAAACAGAAUUACUCAGGUCCAUCCUCCGCUAAGCCCUUUAAUUAUUAUUAUCUCACCAGCUCACAUAACAUAUGUAUGUGAUGGAUAUAAAAUGCCUUAGCCUCCCUUUUAUAGAUGAGGAAUCGAAGGCCCAGAGAAGUUAAGGGAAUUCUCAAGGUCACCCUGAGAACAGCAGUGUGUGUGUCGGUGGAGGGGCCCCGAAGACUCCAGGACUUUUGACAAAGAAACCAAUACAAUACCCUGUUUUAUAACAUGUUUUGGCACUGUUAGAAAUAUUCCCUUAAAACUUUCAGUACUUUUAACUAGCCAACUAUUCUAAAAAAACCCAAAAACCAAAAACCAAAACGUUCAGUACUUUAGAAGAGACUGCUGUUUAUCCAUUUUCUCUUUCUUCCUUAGUAAUAAAGCAGCUUUUUUUUUUUUUUUUCUUUUUUCACUGCACCCACAGCAUAGAGAAGUUCCCAGGCCAGGUAGUGAAUUGAAGCUACAGCUGCAACUUAUGCCAUAGCUGAAGCAACGCUGAAUCUUUAACCCACUGUGCUGGGCUAGGGAUUGAACCCACCACCACAGAGACAAUACCAGAUCCUUAAUCCACUGUACCAUAGUGGGAACUCCAAAGCAUCCUUUUUUUUUUUUUUUUUUUUUUUUUUUUUGCUUUUUAUGGCCUCACUGGGCACAUGGAAGUUCCCAGGCUAGGGGUCUAAUCAGAACUGUAGCCACCAGCCUACACCACAGCCACAGCAAUACGGGAUCCGAGCCGCGUCUGCGACCUGCACUGUAGCUCACGGCAACGCUGGAUCCUUAACCCACUGAGCGAGGCCAGGGAUUGAACCUGCACCCUCAUGGAUCCUAGUUGGAUUUGUUAACCACUAAGCCAUUAUGGGAACUCUCCAAAGCAUCCAAUUUUUAACUGGGCACAUGGGCAACAGGAGAAACUCCACUCCCCAGCUUCCCUCACAGAUAGAUGUGGCUACACAAUUAAGUUCUGGCAAUAGGAGUAAGUGGAAAUGAUGUGUAUCCCAAAAAGGAAAAAAAAAAAACGUAUCCUCCUUCUUCCUUUCUGCUGUCAUGUGGAUGUGAUAGCUGGCACCAAGCAGCCAUUCUGCAUCAUGAGGUUGGGGUAAAGUAUGUUCUGGAAGAUAGAAGGUGCUAGUCCCUUAUUCUGUGGCUAGGUAUCUUAGCCUCUGAUGGAUUGUGCAACACUUAGUUCAUGUGGGGAAGAGAUAUAUUUCUGCCUUGUUCAAUGAAUUGUCACUUGCAGUUGGACCUAACCUUAACAAUACUAGUGGUUUUCUAUUGCACUGAGAAAAAAAAAAAAUCUUAGAUACUGAGUGAGGGCUGCCAUGCCUUGCAUGACCCAGUCCUGGCUCGCUUACUUUUUCAGUACUGUCUGCAUUAUCCAUCUCUCUCUUGCUCUCAACAUUUUAACUCUACUCUCCUUCUUUCGCAUAUGCUGUUCCUUCUGUGUGGAAUGCUAUUCACCUGGAUAACUCCUGCUGACACACUGGGGUCUCAGUCUAUGUGCCCCAUAUUCAGAGAGGUAUUCCCUGACCAAGGUUUUUUUUUAUGCUUUUCUUUCUAACCCCUAGCUUGUCAAUGUGGAAAUAUAGAUUGUAUUGCAUGGUGAUUUGUUUAAUGUCUAUCCUGACGACUAGACCUUAGCUCUGAGGGGCCCUCUAUGCUGCACACCCUGCUCGUACACAGGGCCCACCUGGGGCAGAUUAUAGUUUUCAAAGAUGUUGGUAACAGUAUUUCCCAUCCUAUAUACAUUUCUACAGUGGAUUUUCCACUUUCCCAUCAGGAAGUAAAAUCUAUUUUUCCACUUCCUUUGAUCUGGGUGGCUCUGGGACAGCUUUCACUCCUAGCAUAUGGCAGAAGUGACACUGUACCUGUUCUGGGUGUGGCCCUUAACUGGGCUGGCGGCUUCUACUUUCCCCCUUUGGAAGCCAGUCACCGUGGAAGAAGUGUAGGUGCCCUUCGGCCACUAUGCUCUGCAAAGCUCAGGCCCAAGGGAGGAGGCCUGGAGGGUGAAACCUACAUGAGGAAAGAGGGUGGGUCCACAGGGUACCAAGGCCCCUGCUAUGGGAGGGAGCCAUCUGGGGUUGUCCAGCCUGGAGGAGCCUUCGGAUAACUCCAGUCGCAGCUGAGAUCUGAUCACAGCCAUAUAAGACCCAAAGCAAGGACCCUCAAGCUGAGCCCAGCCAAAGGAUUCAUUUGUACGAAGCAAUGAUAAAUCGUUGUUUGAAGCCAUUUUGUUUGGGUAGGGGCUUGUUAUGCAGCAACAGAAAACAUGAACAGAGGCCUAGAGUAGGCAGUCAGUACAUAGGGGUCAAGUGGCCAAGAUGGAUAGAUUUUAUUUUUUUUGUUCUUUGAUCGUUAGAAGCUAAAGGUCUAUAGAAAGGCUGAGACAGAUCUAGGCCCAGCCUGUCUUCCAGCAUGGAGCUCUGGCCCCGGGCCUCACCAUCCUUACCGGAGGCCUGUGAUUUAAUCCCUGCAAGAUGAAUGCAAGCAGAUAACGUUCUCCUGCAGGAGUGGGUCCAGGAGUGGAGGACACACUUGGGAGGACAGACUGGGGUGACAGCUGGUUGUCACUGGCCUCCUUGCUUACUGCGGUGGGUGCCAUCUUUCAACCACCGUAAACACAGCUUCCGUGUCUGAACAAAGAGGGAGAUGGGUGAAAAGCAAGGAGGCUCCUGAAAUGCAGAAAGGUGGUGAGACAAUGAAAGCAGCAGCCAGGACAGUCUCUAGGCACUGGGGUUAGAGGCCAUUUCAAUACUUUCUUCCUUCUGCUCAUCUGCAUUUCCUAAAUACCCUUCAGAACACAUCUUAUUGUUUUUCUAAAAAUAUGAAAUACCUUCUUAUUUAAAGACUUGAAUUGUGCUCUGAAUUUCGUGAAAGGUGCAAACAACCAAACUAAACUGAGAUCAAACAAAACACUGAAACAAAUCCCAGGCUCCGGAGUUCCUGUCGUGGCCCAGCAGGAACAAAUCCAACUAGUAUCCAUGAGGAUGCAGGUUCGAUCCCUGGCCUUGCUCAGGUUGGGGAUCCGGUGUUGCUGUGCAUGGGGUGUAGGUCACAGAAACCCCUUGGAUCCACACUGCUGUGUCUGUAGUGUAAGCCAGUAGCUACGGCUCCUAUUUGACCCCUAGCCUGGGAACUUCCACAUGCUGCAGGUGGAUGUGGCCCUAAAAAGCAAAAAACAAAAAAACAAAACAAAACAAAAUGAAAAAACACCCCAGGCUCCAAAGCUGCAUUCUCAGCAGCCAAUCUUUUUCUUUCCUUCUUUUUCUCUUCUUUCUUUUUUUUUUUUUUUUUUUUUAGUCUUAAAGGCCAUUAUUUCAGGAAGUAAAGAAAUAAGCAUUAUCCCAACAUAGCUUAUAAAGGGCAAACAAGAGCAAGCAUUGGGGCGGGGUGCAAAGGGGGAGGCAGAAACCUGGGAACCAGGUGCAGAGCAUGAGCCCCGCUUCAUUUUUCGGUGGAAUAUUUGGUUUGCUCAGCUUGGGCCAUGAGUCCCCCAUCUAGCAGCAUCCUGGACUCUUUGACCCCCCACGCCUCCCCCCCCACCCCCGAUUCAUAAUUAUCCAGCUUUAAGUUACUCUUUGGAAACUAUUUUGGUCAUUAUGCUCUUUGGUGUGAUUAAUUAUACCUUAGUAAGAGACCAAGAUAUAUUCUCCGGAGAUGUAACCUUUUCUAAUUUGGGAGGAGUAAUUUUCAGCUCAGCCAGCUCAGGAGCCAUGUAACACUGAAUCACCGCUCCAAAAGUGGGCAGCUCAGGAUUUGGAAAUCUAGUGAG
rnacentral:lncRNA from 1 species